GAAACCUUCAAUGAAUCAUUUCACAUUCAUCUUCCAGACAUAUCGCAGAAUUUAUCGUUGCUGUUAUACUUGAUUGUGCUUUUACUCCUGUCGUUUUGUCAACUCCAUUUUAAUCUUUAAGAAGCUGCUGUGUGGAAAUUGGCUGUCACAUUGUCACAGUACUUCAAGAAGUUCUCAAGGCUGUAAAGUACUUCAGUGUCCUGAGGUGAUGGAGAAUGUUGAAUAAACAUUUUUUUUUAGAUCAUGAGAGAUAAAAAAAAAGCCCACCCUAUAGGGCGGCUAGAGGUUCUGCCAGAUUGACAGCUGCAGCUUGGACUACUGAUCUUCAAGGGUGGGGUGGGUUCUCGCUCUUGAAAGCUGCCGAGCAUCCUGAUGUCUCGAUGUUUCCAGGCCUGGAAGAAGUGCUCCUUUGGGGUGUGGCACUGUGGACAACCCGAUUCCUCGCUGAUGUUGCCAACUGAAGCGUCGAGGCAGUGGGCGCUGUGCGCAGCUGUCAGAGGCUCCUGCACUUGAGUCAUCUCUCUCUCUCUCUCAAGGGUGAGGGAGAGUCUGUUGGUCCUUCAAGUCGGGGGGCUCAGACAAGUGACACAACAUCGAACCAGCAAGCUGUAGGCCUCCCCUCUUGUUGUUGUAGGAGUGGUAUCUCUUUCUCCCUUGCUGGUAAGAGAGAGAGCCUGUCUGAGAUGUCGAAGUGCUGGGAUGGACCAGUAGUUUCUGAUAGAUUCCAGAUCAUGGUCUCGGGGGGUUUUGCUGU